GACGAACGCUGACGGCGUGCUUUAGACAUGCAAGUCGAACGAGAAAGCCCCUUCGGGGCGGAGUAAAGUGGCGAACGGGUGAGUAACACGUGGGCAACCUGCCCCUCCGCUCUGGGGAAGUAACCCGGGGAAACCCGGGCCGUAAUACCCCGUACCGCUUGCUGGAUCGCAUGAUCCGGCAAGGAAAGGUAGCUUCGGCCAUCCGGCGAGGGAUGGGCCCGCGGUGCAUUAGCUAGUUGGUGAGGUAACGGCUCACCAAGGCGACGAUGCAUAGCUGGUCUGAGAGGAUGAUCAGCCACACUGGGACUGAGACACGGCCCAGACUCCUACGGGAGGCAGCAGUCGGGAAUCUUGCGCAAUGGGCGAAAGCCUGACGCAGCAACGCCGUGUGGGCGAGGAAGGCCU
rnacentral:rRNA from 1 species